UUUAUUUUUAAUACGAUUUGCGGGUUGUAAGGAAUUGACGGCCGGAAUGAAAUGGCUCUGGUUAAUACCUGGGGUCGAUGACGGUACCGGAAGAAUAAGGACCGGCUAACUACGUGCCAGCAGCCGCGGUAAUACGUAGGGUCCAAGCGUUAAUCGGAAUUACUGGGCGUAAAGCGUGCGCAGGCGGUUGUGCAAGACCGAUGUGAAAUCCCCGAGCUUAACUUGGGAAUUGCAUUGGUGACUGCACGGCUAGAGUGUGUCAGAGGGGGGUAGAAUUCCACGUGUAGCAGUGAAAUGCGUAGAGAUGUGGAGGAAUACCGAUGGCGAAGGCAGCCCCCUGGGAUAACACUGACGCUCAUGCACGAAAGCGUGGGGAGCAAACAGGAUUACAUACCCUGGUAGUCCACGCCCUAAACGAUGUCAACUAGUUGUUGGGGAUUCAUUUCCUUAAUAACGUAACUGACGCGUGAAGUUGACCGCCUGGGGAGUACCGUCGCAAGAUUAAAACUCAAA
rnacentral:rRNA from 1 species